GGGGAGGAGCCCCGCGCCACGGACCCUAUAUCGCCGUGCGCUAGCUCCGGGCGUUGCGUGACCUCCGAGCCCCUAAGGCGGGUCGCGGCGCCUCCACGCGAGGGGCGCGCGAGCUUUGGGCUCAUCCCUGACGAUGGGGAGGUGCGCCCGCCCUCCCCGGGUGCGCGGCGGCGGCGGCGGGAGGCCGAGAACAGCUGGGCCGGACUGCAGCGAAUGAGGGCUUAACUCAGCCCACCCACAUCAGCGGCCUCUGGAGUGACAGCCUGGGAGCAACAUCAUCAGAUAAAAGGUCAAGGCCAGAACAAGCCACAGCUGGGACUCGGAGGUCACUCUACGCAGCAGAAAAUGCGGGGUCGUAACAACUUAAUGAGAUGUGAAUGAUGUGUUACGGUAACCCUAAACAACUGCUGGAGAAGUUCACCACACACCACGCAUCUAGAAAUAGCCCAGUGUCACCUGUAGUACGCGGCCCCUAUGAUUUAUUCCCCCACUUCACUUGACACGUCCUGAGAAGCAGUGAUGUGCUGACGUUAAUGGCAGGAUGCCCAACCUCACUUUGUCCAUCCCUCCCAGCACUCACUGGUUGCAGAAAAGGUCACGCAUUGCGGUCAACAUAAAAAUCUCAUUACUCUGGUCUGCAUGCAUCCCUCCCCUUUCUCUACUUGCCCUCCAACACGCUUAUUAAAAACAAAAUUUAAAGAAAGAAAAGGGAAAGAAAAAAAGACUUUCAGCAGUUAAAAUCAGAAAUCAAGUACCUUUGUUGGAAUAGUAUGAAUGGAAUGAUAUGAGGUUCCACUGUGGGACAUUUUCUUUAGACCUGCAAUUUAAGGCUAUCUUUACAAUAUUGUAUGUUAUUACAAUAACAUUUUAAAUAA
rnacentral:lncRNA from 1 species